UAAAGAGAUUGAACUUGGCUGGACUGACUCAAACCUGCGCACUCUGGAGAUUAUCACAAUAGUUGUGAGUGGAACACAAAUGUUGUGCACUGGUGUGAUCCAUGCAGGGGUUUCCGGCUGAUUCUAAUUAUAAGCUAUACAGAAUGAUGAUGGCAUAGCAAGUCCUGCAAGAUAUUCCACAAUAUCAAUCACAAUUGUUUACACCUUUUCUUUUGUUCUUUUAUUUUAUGUCUGAGAGACAGUAACUAUACAUGGAUUGUUAAAUUGUAAUU